rnacentral:rRNA from 1 species
UGGGCAAUCUGCCCUGCACUCUGGGACAAGCCCUGGAAACGGGGUCUAAUACCGGAUAUGACUACCGAUCGCAUGGUUGGUGGUGGAAAGCUCCGGCGGUGCAGGAUGAGCCCGCGGCCUAUCAGCUUGUUGGUGGGGUGAUGGCCUACCAAGGCGACGACGGGUAGCCGGCCUGAGAGGGCGACCGGCCACACUGGGACUGAGACACGGCCCAGACUCCUACGGGAGGCAGCAGUGGGGAAUAUUGCACAAUGGGCGAAAGCCUGAUGCAGCGACGCCGCGUGAGGGAUGACGGCCUUCGGGUUGUAAACCUCUUUCAGCAGGGAAGAAGCGCAAGUGACGGUACCUGCAGAAGAAGCGCCGGCUAACUACGUGCCAGCAGCCGCGGUAAUACGUAGGGCGCGAGCGUUGUCCGGAAUUAUUGGGCGUAAAGAGCUCGUAGGCGGCUUGUCGCGUCGGAUGUGAAAGCCCGGGGCUUAACCCCGGGUCUGCAUUCGAUACGGGCAGGCUAGAGUUCGGUAGGGGAGAUCGGAAUUCCUGGUGUAGCGGUGAAAUGCGCAGAUAUCAGGAGGAACACCGGUGGCGAAGGCGGAUCUCUGGGCCGAUACUGACGCUGAGGAGCGAAAGCGUGGGGAGCGAACAGGAUUAGAUACCCUGGUAGUCCACGCCGUAAACGUUGGGAACUAGGUGUGGGCGACAUUCCACGUCGUCCGUGCCGCAGCUAACGCAUUAAGUUCCCCGCCUGGGGAGUACGGCCGCAAGGCUAAAACUCAAAGGAAUUGACGGGGGCCCGCACAAGCGGCGGAGCAUGUGGCUUAAUUCGACGCAACGCGAAGAACCUUACCAAGGCUUGACAUACACCGGAAACGGCCAGAGAUGGUCGCCCCCUUGUGGUCGGUGUACAGGUGGUGCAUGGCUGUUGUCAGCUCGUGUCGUGAGAUGUUGGGUUAAGUCCCGCAACGAGCGCAACCCUUGUUCUGUGUUGCCAGCAUGCCUUUCGGGGUGAUGGGGACUCACAGGAGACUGCCGGGGUCAACUCGGAGGAAGGUGGGGACGACGUCAAGUCAUCAUGCCCCUUAUGUCUUGGGCUGCACACGUGCUACAAUGGCCGGUACAAUGAGCUGCGAUACCGUGAGGUGGAGCGAAUCUCAAAAAGCCGGUCUCAGUUCGGAUUGGGGUUUGCAACUCGACCCCAUGAAGUCGGAGUCGCUAGUAAUCGCAGAUCAGCAUUGCUGCGGUGAAUACGUUCCCGGGCCUUGUACACACCGCCCGUCCCGUCAC